GCCGGUGUAGCUCAGCUGGUAGAGCACCUGAUUUGUAAUCAGUAGGUCCCGGGUUCGAAUCCCGGCGCCGGCC
rnacentral:tRNA from 1 species